GCAUCUACAUGGGAGACAUAAGGGGAUAUUAAAAUUAAAAUAAAAUAUUGUAAACCCUAAAGAGGGCGUGGGACUUGAGGAGAAUAUAUAGCCAUUUUGAGCUCAUUUCUCUCAGUGAUGUUAUGAGAUUUUGAUAUCAAUAUUUUGCUGGUUUGGACUUUGCUCAACCAAAGGGCUUUGUGAGGACAAAAAUCUUCACAGAGUGCAUCUUCUUCGAAAGUCAGGUCUUUCUUGAUAGAUUUGCUAGUUCUAUAUAGGGACUACAUUUGGGCUUUAUCUAUGAGAUUUUGGUAGUAUUAUUAGAAAAUUCAUUGUGCAAAUUGAAGGAGCAAGAAGAGAAAAUUUAAUUGAGGAAGAACUGAUAAAUGUAUCUCUCAUUGAUGGUCGCUCCUCUUCCAUAGUUGGUCGUACACAUUCUAACAAGGGUUUGGACUUCCUAGGCUUAGGCGCCUAGGGUUUGGGAGCUGUUGGAAGCAACAAAGGAGACACCUGGGGCUAUGAUUUGUUGGUGUUAGCCUUUGGAGGCAUUGAAGGUGAUGAUUAUGUGUUCUGAAAUCGUAUUGGGAGAGUUGUUUGCUGAUUCGAGGCCAAUAUUGAGCUCAUUUUAUAAUUACAGCAAAUGGGGCGUUACAAAUAAUGUGGUUCCUUCUUCAAGGUUGCCACCAUUGGAUGAGGGGAAGUUGAUUCCAUUUCCUGAGGCUAUUAUUGAUUCAAGAAGCAUACUCUAUGAAAAAUGAUUAUCAAAGAAUACUUGGACAACUAGAAGAAAUUGCUAGUUGAGGAUGCAACGUGGGAAAGUGAACAAAUUUUGUAGCAUCUAGAGUUGCAAUUUUUUGGGGAUAAGCAAUUUUGGAGAGGGAGGAUUGUAAUAUCCCCUUCCUAAGCACUAACAACUUGUUGAUCGUUGUCCCAUUUAAUGAGUUCUUGUAGCCUAAUGAGCUAGGGUUAGGGAACUCUUGGGGGCUUGGCAACCAUUUAGUCCAGCUUAUCUGACAUUAUUGUCUUGAGCUCUAGUUAAGUUUUGCAUUAGGACACUUUUUCGAGGGAGUUCAAACAAUUUGUUUAUUUUUAUUGUUUUUUCUAAGUGACAAUCAGGAUACUGACUUGGUCAAUUGGCAGUGAUACUAUUUCAGGUUUGUCGA